CGACAGAGUUUAGCAUAAGACCCAAUGCACCCGCGCGCACACCUUUAUCAUACGCAUGACCUUCCCCAACCGUUCCUCCAUAAACCUCUUUCCCCAUCCAAUCAGUAUCGAAUAGUAAGAAAGGAAACCACGCAAUCCAGUUGAGACACGUCACCAAUAGUAAGAUCCACAUGGGACGCUUUAGUUCGCGAAAAGCACCGGAUAAUUCCCCGAAACAUGGGUUACUACUCUUUGUAACGUUACCGUCUUCGUCGGUUACACCGUUACCGGUGACUUUUUCCGGCGAGAGUGGUAUUUCUUUCACGUAGAUCAGUGCGGCGGUUGCUACGGCGGUUAAAAGUGCGAUUGAGAGGAAGAAACAGCUUUUCAAAUUUGCACAGUAGAUAUCACAUGCUUUUGUUUUGGUGAACGGAAACACGUGAAAGAGUUUGCUGUAAGCACCGGCGGCGUAACCGAGGAUGUUACCGACGGCCAUAAAAAACGAGAAAAACGCGUUUGCGUUUCUUGUUUUUUGGUGGUUACCGGCGCAGAGGUCACCAAGAAGUGCACGGCAAGGACCUUGAAGCAUGUUGUUAGCGACGUCGAG
rnacentral:lncRNA from 1 species